AGACCCGAAACCCGGUGAUCUAGCCAUGGGCAGGUUGAAGGUUGGGUAACACUAACUGGAGGACCGAACCGACUAAUGUUGAAAAAUUAGCGGAUGACCUGUGGCUGGGGGUGAAAGGCCAAUCAAACCGGGAGAUAGCUGGUUCUCCCCGAAAGCUAUUUAGGUAGCGCCUCGUGAAUUCAUCUCCGGGGGUAGAGCACUGUUUCGGCUAGGGGGCCAUCCCGGCUUACCAACCCGAUGCAAACUGCGAAUACCGGAGAAUGUUAUCACGGGAGACACACGGCGGGUGCUAACGUCCGUCGUGAAGAGGGAAACAACCCAGACCGCCAGCUAAGGUCCCAAAGUCAUGGUUAAGUGGGAAACGAUGUGGGAAGGCCCAGACAGCCAGGAUGUUGGCUUAGAAGCAGCCAUCAUUUAAAGAAAGCGUAAUAGCUCACUGGUCGAGUCGGCCUGCGCGGAAGAUGUAACGGGGCUAAACCAUGCACCGAAGCUGCGGCAGCGAACGUAUCACCCAAGACAACUUUACGGAGUUGACGAUUGACGGAGCGAAGCGACGUCAAAGCGUUCAUUAAAGUCGAGUUGGCUUAGGGAUACGUUCGUUGGGUAGGGGAGCGUUCUGUAAGCCUGUGAAGGUGUGUCGUGAGGCAUGCUGGAGGUAUCAGAAGUGCGAAUGCUGACAUAAGUAACGAUAAAGCGGGUGAAAAGCCCGCUCGCCGGAAGACCAAGGGUUCCUGUCCAACGUUAAUCGGGGCAGGGUGAGUCGACCCCUAAGGCGAGGCCGAAAGGCGUAGUCGAUGGGAAACGGGUUAAUAUUCCCGUACUUGGUGUUACUGCGAAGGGGGGACGGAGAAGGCUAUGUUGGCCGGGCGACGGUUGUCCCGGUUUAAGGGUGUAGGUGUGUGUUCCAGGUAAAUCCGGUUCACUUUAACACUGAGGCGUGACGACGAGGCACUACGGUGCUGAAGCAACAAAUGCCCUGCUUCCAGGAAAAGCCUCUAAGCAUCAGGUAACACGAAAUCGUACCCCAAACCGACACAGGUGGUCAGGUAGAGAAUACCAAGGCGCUUGAGAGAACUCGGGUGAAGGAACUAGGCAAAAUGGUGCCGUAACUUCGGGAGAAGGCACGCUGACACGUAGGUGAAGUGAUUUACUCAUGGAGCUGAAGUCAGUCGAAGAUACCAGCUGGCUGCAACUGUUUAUUAAAAACACAGCACUGUGCAAACACGAAAGUGGACGUAUACGGUGUGACGCCUGCCCGGUGCCGGAAGGUUAAUUGAUGGGGUCAGCG
rnacentral:rRNA from 2 species